GACGAACGCUGGCGGCGUGCCUAAUACAUGCAAGUCGAGCGGAAUGAUGAAGAAGCUUGCUUCUUCUGAUUUUAGCGGCGGACGGGUGAGUAACACGUGGGCAACCUACCUUGUAGAUUGGGAUAACUCCGGGAAACCGGGGCUAAUACCGAAUAAUCCAUUUUGCUUCAUGGCGAGAUGUUGAAAGACGGUUUCGGCUGUCACUACAAGAUGGGCCCGCGGCGCAUUAGCUAGUGGGUAGGGUAAUGGCCUACCAAGGCGACGAUGCGUAGCCGACCUGAGAGGGUGAUCGGCCACACUGGGACUGAGACACGGCCCAGACUCCUACGGGAGGCAGCAGUAGGGAAUCUUCCACAAUGGACGAAAGUCUGAUGGAGCAACGCCGCGUGAGUGAAGAAGGUUUUCGGAUCGUAAAACUCUGUUGUAAGGGAAGAACACGUACGAGAGUAACUGCUCGUACCUUGACGGUACCUUAUUAGAAAGCCACGGCUAACUACGUG
rnacentral:rRNA from 1 species